rnacentral:rRNA from 1 species
GGGUUGUGAGGUUAAGCGACUAAGCGUACACGGUGGAUGCCCUGGCAGUCAGAGGCGAUGAAGGGCGUGCUAAUCUGCGAUAAGCGCCGGUAAGGUGAUAUGAACCGUUAUAACCGGCGAUACCCGAAUGGGGAAACCCAGUGUGAUUCGUCACACUAUCAUUAACUGAAUCCAUAGGUUAAUGAGGCGAACCGGGGGAACUGAAACAUCUAAGUACCCCGAGGAAAAGAAAUCAACCGAGAUUCCCCCAGUAGCGGCGAGCGAACGGGGAGGAGCCCAGAGCCUGAAUCAGCAUGUGUGUUAGUGGAAGCGUCUGGAAAGGCGCGCGAUACAGGGUGACAGCCCCGUACACAAAAGCGCAUGUGCUGUGAGCUCGAUGAGUAGGGCGGGACACGUGGUAUCCUGUCUGAAUAUGGGGGGACCAUCCUCCAAGGCUAAAUACUCCUGACUGACCGAUAGUGAACCAGUACCGUGAGGGAAAGGCGAAAAGAACCCCGGCGAGGGGAGUGAAAAAGAACCUGAAACCGUGUACGUCACAAGCAGUGGGAGCCCCACCACUAAGCCAGUGGUGAACUCCACAUCCGCAUCCUUUGCUGAGGAUACGGUUAACGGAGCGAAAGCGACGUUCAACCGCAAAACAAGCAGAGGGGGCUUAGUGGUGGGGUGACUGCGUACCUUUUGUAUAAUGGGUCAGCGACUUAUAUUCUGUAGCAAGGUUAACCGAAUAGGGGAGCCGGAGGGAAACCGAGUCUUAAUUGGGCGUUAAGUUGCAGGGUAUAGACCCGAAACCCGGUGAUCUAGCCAUGGGCAGGUUGAAGGUUGGGUAACACUAACUGGAGGACCGAACCGACUAAUGUUGAAAAAUUAGCGGAUGACCUGUGGCUGGGGGUGAAAGGCCAAUCAAACCGGGAGAUAGCUGGUUCUCCCCGAAAGCUAUUUAGGUAGCGCCUCGUGAAUUCAUCUCCGGGGGUAGAGCACUGUUUCGGCUAGGGGGCCAUCCCGGCUUACCAACCCGAUGCAAACUGCGAAUACCGGAGAAUGUUAUCACGGGAGACACACGGCGGGUGCUAACGUCCGUCGUGAAGAGGGAAACAACCCAGACCGCCAGCUAAGGUCCCAAAGUCAUGGUUAAGUGGGAAACGAUGUGGGAAGGCCCAGACAGCCAGGAUGUUGGCUUAGAAGCAGCCAUCAUUUAAAGAAAGCGUAAUAGCUCACUGGUCGAGUCGGCCUGCGCGGAAGAUGUAACGGGGCUAAACCAUGCACCGAAGCUGCGGCAGCGAACGUAUCACUUAAAGCGAUUCAGCGGGUUACGAUUGACGGAGCGAAGCGACGUCAAAGCGUAUACAAAGUCGAGUCGGUUUAAGGAUACGUUCGUUGGGUAGGGGAGCGUUCUGUAAGCCCGUGAAGGUGGCCUGUGAGGGUUGCUGGAGGUAUCAGAAGUGCGAAUGCUGACAUAAGUAACGAUAAAGCGGGUGAAAAGCCCGCUCGCCGGAAGACCAAGGGUUCCUGUCCAACGUUAAUCGGGGCAGGGUGAGUCGACCCCUAAGGCGAGGCCGAAAGGCGUAGUCGAUGGGAAACGGGUUAAUAUUCCCGUACUUGGUGUUACUGCGAAGGGGGGACGGAGAAGGCUAUGUUGGCCGGGCGACGGUUGUCCCGGUUUAAGCGUGUAGGUGUGUGUUCCAGGUAAAUCCGGUUCACUUUAACACUGAGGCGUGACGACGAGGCACUACGGUGCUGAAGCAACAAAUGCCCUGCUUCCAGGAAAAGCCUCUAAGCAUCAGGUAACACGAAAUCGUACCCCAAACCGACACAGGUGGUCAGGUAGAGAAUACCAAGGCGCUUGAGAGAACUCGGGUGAAGGAACUAGGCAAAAUGGUGCCGUAACUUCGGGAGAAGGCACGCUGACACGUAGGUGAAGUGAUUUACUCAUGGAGCUGAAGUCAGUCGAAGAUACCAGCUGGCUGCAACUGUUUAUUAAAAACACAGCACUGUGCAAACACGAAAGUGGACGUAUACGGUGUGACGCCUGCCCGGUGCCGGAAGGUUAAUUGAUGGGGUCAGCGCAAGCGAAGCUCCUGAUCGAAGCCCCGGUAAACGGCGGCCGUAACUAUAACGGUCCUAAGGUAGCGAAAUUCCUUGUCGGGUAAGUUCCGACCUGCACGAAUGGCGUAAUGAUGGCCAGGCUGUCUCCACCCGAGACUCAGUGAAAUUGAACUCGCUGUGAAGAUGCAGUGUACCCGCGGCAAGACGGAAAGACCCCGUGAACCUUUACUAUAGCUUGACACUGAACAUUGAGCCUUGAUGUGUAGGAUAGGUGGGAGGCUUUGAAGUGUGGACGCCAGUCUGCAUGGAGCCGACCUUGAAAUACCACCCUUUAAUGUUUGAUGUUCUAACGUGGACCCGUAAUCCGGGUUGCGGACAGUGUCUGGUGGGUAGUUUGACUGGGGCGGUCUCCUCCUAAAGAGUAACGGAGGAGCACGAAGGUUGGCUAAUCCUGGUCGGACAUCAGGAGGUUAGUGCAAUGGCAUAAGCCAGCUUGACUGCGAGCGUGACGGCGCGAGCAGGUGCGAAAGCAGGUCAUAGUGAUCCGGUGGUUCUGAAUGGAAGGGCCAUCGCUCAACGGAUAAAAGGUACUCCGGGGAUAACAGGCUGAUACCGCCCAAGAGUUCAUAUCGACGGCGGUGUUUGGCACCUCGAUGUCGGCUCAUCACAUCCUGGGGCUGAAGUAGGUCCCAAGGGUAUGGCUGUUCGCCAUUUAAAGUGGUACGCGAGCUGGGUUUAGAACGUCGUGAGACAGUUCGGUCCCUAUCUGCCGUGGGCGCUGGAGAACUGAGGGGGGCUGCUCCUAGUACGAGAGGACCGGAGUGGACGCAUCACUGGUGUUCGGGUUGUCAUGCCAAUGGCACUGCCCGGUAGCUAAAUGCGGAAGAGAUAAGGACUGA